UCGAGAAUAUUCCACAAUGGACGAAAGUCUGAUGGAGCGACGCCGCGUGCAGGAUGAAGGCCUUCGGGUUGUAAACUGCUUUUUUCAGGGAAAAAUUUGUGAUGGUACCUGAAGAAUAAGAGGUUACUAACUCUGUGCCAGCAGUAGCGGUAAUACAGAGACCUCAAGCGUUAUCCGGAUUUAUUGGGCGUAAAGAGCAUGUAGGCGGGUAUAUUAGUCAGAUGUCAAAUCUUCGAGCUCAACUCGAAAACUGCAUUUGAAACGGUAUAUCUUGAGACAGCAAGAGAUUGAUGGAACAUAUGGUGUAGCAGUGAAAUGCGUUGAUAUCAUAUGGAACACCAAAGGCGAAGGCAUUCAAUUGGUGCUGUUCUGACGCUGAGAUGCGAAAGCGUGGGUAGCG
rnacentral:rRNA from 1 species